UAUUGAUUGUGAAGAUGGUGAAGAAGAUGAAACUUAUAUGGUUUCUGAUUCAAAUGAAGAAGAUGAUGAAUGGAAUGGUGAAGAAGUUGAAGAAGAAAUACAUGAGGAUGAUGUGAACCGUUCUGAUCUUGGUGGAUUGUCAGAUUAUGAAUCAAAUGAUGAUGAAGAGAACUAUUCUAGUAAUGACCAGGAUGUAUAAGCUAUAAAUGCUGAUAGGUUUAUGGAGGGAAAUAUGUUUGAGAUUAAAGAAGGGGAAACAAUUACAUUGAAGAAAUGAAUGGUGUUUGAAGAUGUCUCCCACUUUAGGACUGUUUUGAGGGAAUAUGCCAUUGAGAGGGGGUUCACAUUGGUGAGAUUGAAGAAUGAGAGAGUUAAAGUAACAGCUCAUUGUGGUUCUAGGGGAUGUAAUUGAAGAAUCCAUGCCUCACUUAUUCCUAAUGGAUUAACUUUCAAAAUUAAGUCAUUAGGGCCUGACCAUACUUGUGUGAGAGUAGAGAGGAAUCCUGAAGCAACAUCAACAUGGAUAGCAGAAAAAUUCAUAAGAAUCCUUAAGGGUAAUCCAGGGAUGACUCUUGAAGCUAUGCAAAAUGAAUUGACUGAAAAUUAUGGUGUGGAGGCCUCAAGAAUGCAACUUUAAAGGGGGAAGAGGAAAGCAUUGGAAGCAAUUGAGGGUAAUCAUGCUGCAUCAUAUAGUAAGUUGUCGAAGUAUGCAAAUGAAAUAAUGAAGACUAACCCACGAAGUUUGGUGAAAAUUGAAAAGGACAGUGUUGGUCCUAAAUUAGAUGUAGUUAUGUUCAAGAGGAUAUUUAUCUCACUUACAGCAAUGCAAAAAGGGUUCAAAGAUGGUUGUAGACCUUUUAUAUGUGUGGAUGGGUGUCAUUUGAAAGGUUCUUAUGGUGGAGUCUUGCUAGCUGUCGUGGCCUUGGAUAGGGAUAAUGGUCUAUUUCUUUUAGCAUAUGCUGUGGUAGAGUGUGAAUGCAAGAAAAAUUGGAGAUUCUUCUUGUACCAUCUGCGUACCAUUAUUGAUAAUGGUCCUCAAAGCAAGCCACGGACUAUAAUGUCAGAUGGCCAAAAGGUAAAUUUAUGCACUUUGAAAUGAAAUAAUUUAGUUUGUAAUUUGUCUAAUGAAUUUAUGCAUUUAUAAUAUAACCUUUUGUUUACUUUUAUUUUGUAUUAGGGCAUUGAACCUGCCUUGAAGGAAGUCACGCCUGAAGCAACUCACAGGAGGUGUUGUAGACACCUGUUUAACAAUUUUAAAUCAAAAUUUCCUGGUUUGAAGCUUAGGGGAUCAUUUUGGGCUGUAGCUAGAGCAUAUACUGAGAAAGAUUACAACAUAGUUAUGAGGCAAAUUGAAGAGAUGCCAAAACCAGCCUAUAAAUGGUUAAAUGACUUAAAACUAGAAGUUUGGGCUAGACACACCUUUGAUCCUAGAGUGAAAAGUAACCAUAUCACCAGCAACAUGGUUGAAUCAUUUAACAAUUAGAUUAGGAAUGUAAGAGGGAAAGCUGUCAUUACAAUAUUGGAAAGUAUUAGGACCAAAUUAAUGGGAAAAUUGCGUAAAAGAUUUGAGAAAGCUGCUACAUGGGAAAAUUUGGUGACCCCUACCAUUAGAAAGAAGUUAGAUGAGGUUGUCUUCAAAUCAAGGAUGUGUAAGAUCACAUUGCUGGUGGAAAUGAAUAUCAAGUGAUGGAAGGUGUUACUGUACACAUUGUAAACCUCCUAAGUAGGUCCUGUUGUUGUAGAGUUUGGGACAUUACUGGAGUCCCUUGCAAGCAUACAGCUACUCGUAUUUCUCAUAGGAGAAUGAACAUUGAAACAUUUUGUGAUCGAGUUUAUCAGAGGCAUAAGUUCUUAAGUGCAUAUGGGGAUAUUAUUCAUCCUAUACAUGAUAAGAGUAUGUUGAUGAAGUUCCAGAAGAAGCUUUGAAGCCUCCAAUUCUUAAGAGACUGCCUGGUAGGCCUCCAAAUAGUAGGAGAAUGGAAGUUGGUGAAGCUUCCCCUAGAGUUGGUGAUUCUAGAAGGUCAUGCAUUGUUAAAUGUGUCAUAUGCAAAGAAAUUGGGCACAACAAAAGGACUUGUCAAAGGGCUCCUAUGAAGAGAAAGGGUAAAUCUAUCUCAAUUAGUGGUUCAAGUGUUUCUACAACAGGGCAAACAAGUGGGGUUACAAUAAGCCAAGAAAGUGGAAAAGGUUCAAGUCUAGGAAGGGGAGUUUCUAUUAGAGGGAGUGAUGCAGGUGACAGUUGCACAGGUAGUAAUAGAGGUUCAGGUUGUGGAAUUCUAACUGGAAGAGGUGCAAGUGGUAGAGGUUCUACUUCAAUAGUGGUAGGGGGACAACAUCCUGUAGUGCAGCCCAUUAAAUGGAGUAUGUCUUGAGCAUGGUACUUGGCUCAUAUGGUUGGAAAUUAUGCAGCAUGCCAUCCGAGAUGGAACAAGAAAUGUAAUGUUUCAAGACAAAUUAUAUGACAUAUUUUUAUGUAGGUAAUGUGGUAUAUUUUUGUAAAUGGGGACAAUAUAGUAUAUUUUUGUAUAUAUUCUUGUAAAGGGGAACAUGAUAUAUUUCACUAAAUUGGGAAGAUGUCCCAUUACAUGUUUUGUGAAGGGGAAUAUGAUUAUGUAUGCUCAUUUAUUUUUUGGCCAUAUGGGCAUUAACUGUUAUUAGCACUUUGGGUAAUGCACUUUGUGAAAAUAGAAGAUGAAUAUAUUGAACUCA